AUUGAACGCUGGCGGCAUGCUUUACACAUGCAAGUCGAACGGUAACAGGCCUUCGGGUGCUGACGAGUGGCGAACGGGUGAGUAAUGUAUCGGAACGUGCCCAGUAGUGGGGGAUAGCCCGGCGAAAGCCGGAUUAAUACCGCAUGAGAACUGAGGUUGAAAGCGGGGGACCUUCGGGCCUCGCGCUACUGGAGCGGCUGAUAUCAGAUUAGGUAGUUGGUGGGGUAAAGGCUCACCAAGCCUGCGAUCUGUAGCUGGUCUGAGAGGACGACCAUCCACACUGGGACUGAGACACGGCCCAGACUCCUACGGGAGGCAGCAGUGGGGAAUUUUGGACAAUGGGCGCAAGCCUGAUCCAGCAAUGCCGCGUGCAGGACGAAGGCCUU
rnacentral:rRNA from 1 species